rnacentral:tRNA from 1 species
UGGAGGUAUAGCUCAGUGGAGGAGCACAUGCCUACCAUGUGUGAGGCCCUGGCCCUGGGUUCCAUUCCCAGUCCUGCAA